rnacentral:rRNA from 1 species
UGCUCCUUGUCUUAAUUUAAGGGGUAUGAUCUGCCCAAUGAUUAUUUUGAAUGGCCGCAGUAUUUUGACUGUGCAAAGGUAGCAUAAUCAAUUGUCCUUUAAUUGGGGUCUGGUAUGAACGAUUUUAUGAAAGAUUAACUGUUUCUUUUGAAUGGGCGAAUUUUUAUGGUAGGUGAAGAUACUUAUAUGUUUUUAAAAGACGAGAAGACCCUAUUAAGUUUAAUACUUUUGAUUUAUAAUGUUUGAAUUUGAAUGUAUUUGGUUGGGGCAAUUAUGGAAUAUGAAAAACUUCUUGUAUAUUAUAUGUUAUGAAUAGAUUUUGUUUUUGAUCCAAGUUUUUGAUUAGCAGAUAAAAUUACUUUAGGGAUAACAGCGUAAUUUGUUUUUAGAGUUCUUAUCGAUGAACAAGGUUGCGACCUCGAUGUUGGAUUAAGAUACCCUUAUGGCGCAGGUGCUAUAAGGGGUAGUCUG